rnacentral:rRNA from 1 species
UACGUAGGGGCAAGCGUUGUCCGGAAUCAUUGGGCGUAAAGCGCGUGUAGGCGGCUGGGUAAGUCCGCUCUGAAAGCCCGGGGCUCAACCCCGGGAGGCGGGUGGAUACUGCUCAGCUCGAGUCCGGAAGAGGAGAGUGGAAUUCCUGGUGUAGCGGUGAAAUGCGCAGAUAUCAGGAAGAACACCCGUGGCAAGGCGGCUCUCUAGUACGGUACUGACGCUGAGACGCGAAAGCGUGGGUAGCGAACAGG